AAAGCUCAAAUUUGAAAUCUGACACCUUUGGCGUUCGAGUUGUAAUUUGGAGAGGCAUCUUCUGGAGGGGCCCAGCCUAUGUGCCUUGGAACAGGACGUCAUAGAGGGUGAGAAUCCCGUACUUGACUGGAUGUUCCCUCCUGUAUGUAGUGUCUUCUACGAGUCGAGUUGUUUGGGAAUGCAGCUCAAAAUGGGUGGUAAAUUUCAUCUAAAGCUAAAUAUUGGCCAGAGACCGAUA
rnacentral:rRNA from 1 species